GGUCAGGCAGAAAAAUGGAAGAUGAUUUAGCAGGAGGACCAGGGACCAGGGAUUAAGCAGUAAGGCUCAGCAAGACCCAGAAACUUCUAAAGGAACUUAAGUCUCUGAAAACAACCAGAUGCAUAAGAGCCCUCCAAGGCUAUGUAAACAAUACGGUCUGCUGAGGGGAUUCACACCAGUCUGGCAGACCUGUUGGGCUGCCCCAAAGUCCUGCAGUGAGCUCCAAGAUCCCGGCUGUCAUGACUGCCACCAUGCUGGUAACAAAUGUCAUGGCAUAUACAAAAACCUAAAGGACACUUCCAGAAAGAGCAUGGGCUCUCCUUCAGGAGCACCUUGGCACUUUGGCCAUGUUUUUCUGAUGGUACUCGCUACGCUGCCUCAGAACUGCUCACAGGAGUGCUCCACUCUUAGACUGUAAGUUUCUCAAGUCAUCUGAAGACCCCCAGCCCUAGGAGAAGCAAACACUUAGCACAUAUCACUGAAUGUUCAGUGGAUACAUAUUUGACCAUGUAAUAAUGGUAGUGUUACAUCUAAAAGGGAAGAAAUACAUGAGUAUCUUAAG